rnacentral:lncRNA from 1 species
AGUUCAGGUGGAGGGACAGCUCCAAUGGGUCCCAGCUCAGGAGCGUAGCUGGGCGCAGCUGACGGUUAGCAUUUGCCCUUCGUGUUGGGGUCGUUGCUCCAGGCUGCCUGUCUUCCUGUCUUAUCAAUCAAAAUAUCACUUCUGUUAUUUGUUGUUUGCCACUGCAACUGGUCAUCCCCUCCUGGAAACGACAUGCCUGCUGCCUAAGCCACCCCCGCCGCUGGCGGAGAAAUCUCUUCACACAAGCGGGAGUCGUCAGAGAGGAGGAGCCUCAAUUGAGAAAAAGCCUCCAAAAGAUUGGGCUGUAGGCAAGGCUGGAGGAGGGAGGCAAAGAACCAAGAAACCUUAGGAACUCUGGAAGACCAUGAGAGGACACGUCUGUCUCCACACCUUCCCAAGUCCAGAAUCUCUGUGGAAAGUGAAGGUAAUAGAAGCAGUCCUUCUGUACUGACAGACAGACAUCCUCAGCAUGAGGAAAAGCUACGAGACCACAGGCAAAUACGUCAAGGUUUGCUCUCUGGAGAUUUUCAGCGCAUCCUGUCCCAGAUUCUCAUUUGGUUAUUUGUCAACGACUGGUUUUCAUGUUGCCCAUGUGUGCACAAAUGCACAUGAAGGCAUGAAACACGUGAAGAAUUCUCUGCCUACAGUUGUUGGGCCAUCGCGUGUCGUAGACUCCAAGAUAGCAGGUUGUGCAAGCUACUCUAGUUGUGUGCAGUGGUGGCUGUUCUCGGUUUGACUACAUCUGGAACUAAAACCCAAGCAGCUGGGGACACCUGUGCAUGGAUUUCCUUAAUUAAAGCACGUGAAGUGGGAAGAGCCAUCUUUAAUCUGCGUCACACCUGCUGGAGGCAGGCUACAUAAAUAAAGGACAUG